GACAGGACACAGAGAUCCACUCACCAGUUUCAGAUUGCCCAAACCCAAGAUCGAAGAUGACAGAAGGAGGGCUGCUGCUGUUGGUGUCUCCUCUAUCUCUUUCCCGGCUGGAAAGAACCUGUGGUAACUAGCAAAUGGAAGAACAGUACAAAAUUUGUUCAAGAAACCUACAGUAAUUUUUCCUCACAAGAAAAAGGAACAUUUCUCAAGAAUCUAUGUGAGAGCAGAAAUAUUACAACCAAGGAAACUGAAGAAAUGAGGCUGUGUUCCAAUUUAUUUAAUCUUGCAAAAAUUUCCAGAGAAAUGAUGCAGACAAUUAUUUGAGGUUUGAAGAGAUACUGUAUAAAUGUAGUGAACUUGGAAAAACCUGAAGUGAUUUCCAGUCCUUUCAGAAACAUAAAAUGAGAAAGACUAGAGAGAAACUGUCAAUAUAAAAAACAUGGGAAAGCCUACUCUGAUCUUAAUGAACAAACUCACCCUGGAGAGAAAAUGUUUCUAGUCCCAUACAGGAGAAGUCUGGAACUGUUUACAGCACCAUAGAUAACCAGGUGCAUCACUGAGAUGACAUCAGACAGAGGAAUUAGAUCUGUGCUGCUACUCCAUCUUGUUCUUCCAGCAUUCCAGCACCUAUGGGACAUCUGUAGAGGCCACCAUGUCCCCUCUCUGUGCACUGUGCACCUUCCCUGAAGAGCAGAACCUUCCAGUUUCCAGGGUAGAGAUCCCAAAUCAAGUCUUGUGCUAUGUGUUGGCCUCUGAUUGGAAAACACCGUACUGACAAUAUUCCUAGGAUAAAUUAGAGAUCAAGAAUGACACUAUUUUCUUCAUAUAGUCGAGAUAUACAGAUUGCACUCCUGAACCUAUUGAAAUUUUGGUGUUAGGGGCCUUCAUGAUAAAGCAGGUCAUUCUCUCAUAAUUCUACCCCUUUUUUUUUUUUUUUUUUUUUUUUUUUUUUUUUUUUGGUAUCAGGGAUCAAAGUCAGGUCCUUGCGCUUGUGCAGCAGGUGGUGAAACCACUGAGCUAAAUCCUCGGCACCACUCACCAAUGGAUUUUUAGAGCAGUAGAUAUCCAAUUCCACAGGUGGACUAGUUACCCUGUGUAAGGGGGUUACAAAGCAGCUAAGGCCAGGCAGCAGAGCACAAUGUGUUCCUCACUUUUACAUACAUAUUGGUAAUCAAU
rnacentral:lncRNA from 1 species